CUUGAGGUUUUAGGUGCAAGCUUCUUCCAACCACUGAGCCAUCCUCAAUCAAACCUGGCAGUACAUUACACAAUCUUAUCCUCACCAGCAGAUGGGGCUUAUCAUGAAACUCACUGUCUUAUAUCAGGAUAUAGUACCAACUCUGUCCUUGUUUUAGUUGAUCUGCCAAUAGCUCUUGAUAGUGCUCUUUCUAUUCCACAAAAUACAUACCUUUUUUUUUUCUUAUGGAUUUCAAAACUCUACGAUCUUUUCUCCUAGCUCAGGAGCUACUUCCCAAUGUCCCUUGUUUUUGUCAUUUUCCUCUAGCUCUAAAUCUCCAGAAUCUCCAGGGAUUGGAACCAAGUGCUUUAUCUUUACCAUAUACCAAUCCAUGAAUCAACUCCAAAACAGAUCUCUAGAAACAGACAAGACUGACUACUGCCUGAAGGUUUCUGACACCAAGUUCCUGAGAGGAAUACAUUCUCUUCUCCUUUGGCUGCUUAAUCCCUUCUCAUGAAAAAUAACCUUGACC
rnacentral:lncRNA from 1 species